rnacentral:rRNA from 1 species
GAGGAAUAUUGGGCAAUGCCCGCAAGGGUGACCCAGCAACGCCGCGUGGAGGAUGAAUGUCGUAAGAUUGUAAACUCCUGUUAGAGGGGAAGAAUAGUACCGGUUGGACCGGUAUAUGACUGUACCCUCAGAGAAAGCCCCGGCUAACUACGUGCCAGCAGCCGCGGUAAUACGUAGGGGGCAAGCGUUGUCCGGAUUUACUGGGUGUAAAGGGCGCGCAGGCGGGAUAAAAAGUCAGUGGUGAAAUCCUACAGCUUAACUGUAGAACUGCCUUUGAUACUGUUAUUCUUGAGUUCGGGAGAGAGAGACGGAAUUCCAGGUGUAGUGGUGAAAUACGUAGAUAUCUGGAAGAACACCAGUUGCGAAGGCGGUCUCUUGGUCCGACACUGACGCUGAGGCGCGAAAGCGUGGGGAGCAAACA